rnacentral:rRNA from 1 species
AUGGGGCUCCCCGAGGUCCAGCAUCCCAUGGCCGGCGGCGCCGCCUCACCAGGCACGGCCUGCGCCUUCACCCUGUCUCCAGACUCCUCCCUCUUCCCAGCAGCUCGAGCCAACAGCGACGGGCCGGUCGGGUUCGCCCGCGAAGCGCGUGGCCACGAUGGCCUGCACGCGAGCGAUGGGAAGGCGGGGAGGAGGAAGAGGCGGGCCGGUGGAGGAGUAGCAGCAGGGCGGCAGCGGAAGAGAAGGAGGAGGAGGAGGAGGUGGGAGGGAGCGGCGGCAGGUGAGGGAGGAAGGAGCGAGGGGCGUGGGGCUGGGGCUAGGGUUCGAUGCCGUUUUCUCUACCUCGCGCGGUGCGAUGUUUUUUCCACUCACCUGGUGCGCUGCGCCCCCACGCACGGCGCAGUGCGAUAG